rnacentral:rRNA from 1 species
ACUCCUACGGGAGGCAGCAGUGGGGAAUAUUGCACAAUGGGCGGAAGCCUGAUGCAGCGACGCCGCGUGAGGGAUGACGGCCUUCGGGUUGUAAACCUCUUUCAGCAUCGACGAAGCCUUUAUCGGUGACGGUAGGUGCAGAAGAAGCGCCGGCCAACUACGUGCCAGCAGCCGCGGUAAGACGUAGGGCGCGAGCGUUGUCCGGAUUUAUUGGGCGUAAAGAGCUCGUAGGCGGCUUGUCGCGUCGACUGUGAAAACCCGCGGCUCAACUGCGGGCUUGCGGCCGAUACGGGCAGGCUGGAGUUCGGUAGGGGAGACUGGAAUUCCUGGUGUAGCGGUGAAAUGCGCAGAUAUCAGGAGGAACACCGGUGGCGAAGGCGGGUCUCUGGGCCGAUACUGACGCUGAGGAGCGAAAGCGUGGGGAGCGAACAGGAUUAGAUACCCUGGUAG